UAUCAAGUUAAUCUGACUCAUUUAGCGUCUGGCACUCCGCCUCGUAGAGUUACUACUCCACUGCUCGUUUGUCCUUUACUGCAAAACCUCAGCUGC